AUGGAGAGGACAUUGGGAGCCCUGCUGGCGCUUUCGUGGCUGCAGGUCUGCUGGGUGAGAGGGGUGGAGGUGGAGCAGAGCCCUUCAGCCUCCAGUCUCCAGGAAGGAACCAGCAGUAAACUGAGGUGCGAUUUUUCUUCUGUCAUGAACACAGUGCACUGGUUCCGGCAAAAUCCAGGAGGCGGCCUCAUCAGUCUGUUCUUCAUGGCUCCAGGGACAAAGCAGAAUGGAAGGCUAGAGUCAACAUUUAAUUUCAAAGAACGUUAUAGCACCCUGCAGAUUACAGCCUCUGACCUGGGAGACUCAGGCUUCUACCUCUGUGCAGGAGAGGCACAGUGCUCCCAGGUUACCUGCAGCCUGGCCCCAAACUGCAGCUGGGCCUGA